AUGAACGCUAGCUACAGGCUUAACACAUGCAAGUCGAGGGGCAGCAUGGUCUUAGCUUGCUAAGGCCGAUGGCGACCGGCGCACGGGUGAGUAACACGUAUCCAACCUGCCGUCUACUCUUGGACAGCCUUCUGAAAGGAAGAUUAAUACAAGAUGGCAUCAUGAGUCCGCAUGUUCACAUGAUUAAAGGUAUUCCGGUAGACGAUGGGGAUGCGUUCCAUUAGAUAGUAGGCGGGGUAACGGCCCACCUAGUCUUCGAUGGAUAGGGGUUCUGAGAGGAAGGUCCCCCACAUUGGAACUGAGACACGGUCCAAACUCCUACGGGAGGCAGCAGUGAGGAAUAUUGGUCAAUGGGCGAGAGCCUGAACCAGCCAAGUAGCGUGAAGGAUGACUGCCCUAUGGGUUGUAAACUUCUUUUAUAAAGGAAUAAAGUCGGGUAUGCAUACCCGUUUGCAUGUACUUUAUGAAUAAGGAUCGGCUAACUCCGUGCCAGCAGCCGCGGUAAUACGGAGGAUCCGAGCGUUAUCCGGAUUUAUUGGGUUUAAAGGGAGCGUAGAUGGAUGUUUAAGUCAGUUGUGAAAGUUUGCGGCUCAACCGUAAAAUUGCAGUUGAUACUGGAAAUCUUGAGUGCAGUUGAGGCAGGCGGAAUUCGUGGUGUAGCGGUGAAAUGCUUAGAUAUCACGAAGAACUCCGAUUGCGAAGGCAGCCUGCUAAGCUGCAACUGACAUUGAGGCUCGAAAGUGUGGGUAUCAAACAGGAUUAGAUACCCUGGUAGUCCACACGGUAAACGAUGAAUACUCGCUGUUUGCGAUAUACUGCAAGCGGCCAAGCGAAAGCGUUAAGUAUUCCACCUGGGGAGUACGCCGGCAACGGUGAAACUCAAAGGAAUUGACGGGGGCCCGCACAAGCGGAGGAACAUGUGGUUUAAUUCGAUGAUACGCGAGGAACCUUACCCGGGCUUAAAUUGCAGAUGAAUUACGGUGAAAGCCGUAAGCCGCAAGGCAUCUGUGAAGGUGCUGCAUGGUUGUCGUCAGCUCGUGCCGUGAGGUGUCGGCUUAAGUGCCAUAACGAGCGCAACCCUUAUCUUUAGUUACUAACAGGUCAUGCUGAGGACUCUGGAGAGACUGCCGUCGUAAGAUGUGAGGAAGGUGGGGAUGACGUCAAAUCAGCACGGCCCUUACGUCCGGGGCUACACACGUGUUACAAUGGGGGGUACAGAGGGCCGCUACCACGCGAGUGGAUGCCAAUCCCAAAAACCUCUCUCAGUUCGGACUGGAGUCUGCAACCCGACUCCACGAAGCUGGAUUCGCUAGUAAUCGCGCAUCAGCCACGGCGCGGUGAAUACGUUCCCGGGCCUUGUACACACCGCCCGUCAAGCCAUGGGAGCCGGGGGUACCUGAAGUACGUAACCGCAAGGAGCGUCCUAGGGUAAAACUGGUAAUUGGGGCU
rnacentral:rRNA from 1 species